AAAUUGAAGAGUUUGAUCAUGGCUCAGAUUGAACGCUGGCGGCAGGCCUAACACAUGCAAGUCGAACGGUAACAGGAAGCAGCUUGCUGCUUCGCUGACGAGUGGCGGACGGGUGAGUAAUGUCUGGGAAACUGCCUGAUGGAGGGGGAUAACUACUGGAAACGGUGGCUAAUACCGCAUAACGUCGCAAGACCAAAGAGGGGGACCUUCGGGCCUCUUGCCAUCAGAUGUGCCCAGAUGGGAUUAGCUUGUUGGUGAGGUAACGGCUCACCAAGGCGACGAUCCCUAGCUGGUCUGAGAGGAUGACCAGCCACACUGGAACUGAGACACGGUCCAGACUCCUACGGGAGGCAGCAGUGGGGAAUAUUGCACAAUGGGCGCAAGCCUGAUGCAGCCAUGCCGCGUGUAUGAAGAAGGCCUUCGGGUUGUAAAGUACUUUCAGCGGGGAGGAAGGUGUUGUGGUUAAUAACCACAGCAAUUGACGUUACCCGCAGAAGAAGCACCGGCUAACUCCGUGCCAGCAGCCGCGGUAAUACGGAGGGUGCAAGCGUUAAUCGGAAUUACUGGGCGUAAAGCGCACGCAGGCGGUCUGUCAAGUCGGAUGUGAAAUCCCCGGGCUCAACCUGGGAACUGCAUUCGAAACUGGCAGGCUUGAGUCUUGUAGAGGGGGGUAGAAUUCCAGGUGUAGCGGUGAAAUGCGUAGAGAUCUGGAGGAAUACCGGUGGCGAAGGCGGCCCCCUGGACAAAGACUGACGCUCAGGUGCGAAAGCGUGGGGAGCAAACAGGAUUAGAUACCCUGGUAGUCCACGCCGUAAACGAUGUCUACUUGGAGGUUGUGCCCUUGAGGCGUGGCUUCCGGAGCUAACGCGUUAAGUAGACCGCCUGGGGAGUACGGCCGCAAGGUUAAAACUCAAAUGAAUUGACGGGGGCCCGCACAAGCGGUGGAGCAUGUGGUUUAAUUCGAUGCAACGCGAAGAACCUUACCUGGUCUUGACAUCCACAGAACUUUCCAGAGAUGGAUUGGUGCCUUCGGGAACUGUGAGACAGGUGCUGCAUGGCUGUCGUCAGCUCGUGUUGUGAAAUGUUGGGUUAAGUCCCGCAACGAGCGCAACCCUUAUCCUUUGUUGCCAGCGAUUAGGUCGGGAACUCAAAGGAGACUGCCAGUGAUAAACUGGAGGAAGGUGGGGAUGACGUCAAGUCAUCAUGGCCCUUACGACCAGGGCUACACACGUGCUACAAUGGCGCAUACAAAGAGAAGCGACCUCGCGAGAGCAAGCGGACCUCAUAAAGUGCGUCGUAGUCCGGAUUGGAGUCUGCAACUCGACUCCAUGAAGUCGGAAUCGCUAGUAAUCGUGGAUCAGAAUGCCACGGUGAAUACGUUCCCGGGCCUUGUACACACCGCCCGUCACACCAUGGGAGUGGGUUGCAAAAGAAGUAGGUAGCUUAACCUUCGGGAGGGCGCUUACCACUUUGUGAUUCAUGACUGGGGUGAAGUCGUAACAAGGUAACCGUAGGGGAACCUGCGGUUGGAUCACCUCCUUACCUUAAAGAAGC
rnacentral:rRNA from 3 species